rnacentral:tRNA from 1 species
GCGCCGGUAGUGUAGUGGUAUCACAGAGGCUUGCCAACCGACCUUUCAUUCGUCAAAAGGAUGAGCCGGUGACGAAAGGAAGUGCAAAGAGAGCGGGCAAAAAGCCUCUAACUCGGGUUCGAGUCCCGGUCGGCGCA